rnacentral:rRNA from 1 species
GAACGGCAGCACGGGUGCUUGCACCUGGUGGCGAGUGGCGAACGGGUGAGUAAUACAUCGGAACAUGUCCUGUAGUGGGGGAUAGCCCGGCGAAAGCCGGAUUAAUACCGCAUACGAUCUACGGAUGAAAGCGGGGGACCUUCGGGCCUCGCGCUAUAGGGUUGGCCGAUGGCUGAUUAGCUAGUUGGUGGGGUAAAGGCCUACCAAGGCGACGAUCAGUAGCUGGUCUGAGAGGACGACCAGCCACACUGGGACUGAGACACGGCCCAGACUCCUACGGGAGGCAGCAGUGGGGAAUUUUGGACAAUGGGCGAAAGCCUGAUCCAGCAAUGCCGCGUGUGUGAAGAAGGCCUUCGGGUUGUAAAGCACUUUUGUCCGGAAAGAAAUCCUUGGCUCUAAUACAGUCGGGGGAUGACGGUACCGGAAGAAUAAGCACCGGCUAACUACGUGCCAGCAGCCGCGGUAAUACGUAGGGUGCGAGCGUUAAUCGGAAUUACUGGGCGUAAAGCGUGCGCAGGCGGUUUGCUAAGACCGAUGUGAAAUCCCCGGGCUCAACCUGGGAACUGCAUUGGUGACUGGCAGGCUAGAGUAUGGCAGAGGGGGGUAGAAUUCCACGUGUAGCAGUGAAAUGCGUAGAGAUGUGGAGGAAUACCGAUGGCGAAGGCAGCCCCCUGGGCCAAUACUGACGCUCAUGCACGAAAGCGUGGGGAGCAAACAGGAUUAGAUACCCUGGUAGUCCACGCCCUAAACGAUGUCAACUAGUUGUUGGGGAUUCAUUUCCUUAGUAACGUAGCUAACGCGUGAAGUUGACCGCCUGGGGAGUACGGUCGCAAGAUUAAAACUCAAAGGAAUUGACGGGGACCCGCACAAGCGGUGGAUGGAUGUUGGAUUAAUUCGAUGCAACGCGAAAAACCUUACCUACCCUUGACAUGGUCGGAAUCCCGCUGAGGAGGUGGGGAGGUGCUCGAAAGAGAACCGGCGCACAGGUGCUGCAUGGGCUGUCGUCAGCUCGUGUCGUGAGAUGUUUGGGUUAAGUCCCGCAACGAGCGCAACCCUUGUCCUUAGUUGCUACGCAAGAGCACUCUAAGGAGACUGCCGGUGACAAACCGGAGGAAGGUGGGGAUGACGUCAAGUCCUCAUGGCCCUUAUGGGUAGGGCUUCACACGUCAUACAAUGGUCGGAACAGAGGGUUGCCAACCCGCGAGGGGGAGCUAAUCCCAGAAAACCGAUCGUAGUCCGGAUUGCACUCUGCAACUCGAGUGCAUGAAGCUGGAAUCGCUAGUAAUCGCGGAUCAGCAUGCCGCGGUGAAUACGUUCCCGGGUCUUGUACACACCGCCCGUCACACCAUGGGAGUGGGUUUUACCAGAAGUGGCUAGUCUAACCGCAAGGAGGACGG